GACGAACGCUGGCGGCGUGCCUAAUACAUGCAAGUAGAACGCUGAAGAGAGGAGCUUGCUCUUCUUGGAUGAGUUGCGAACGGGUGAGUAACGCGUAGGUAACCUGCCUUGUAGCGGGGGAUAACUAUUGGAAACGAUAGCUAAUACCGCAUAACAAUGGAUGACACAUGUCAUUUAUUUGAAAGGGGCAAUUGCUCCACUACAAGAUGGACCUGCGUUGUAUUAGCUAGUAGGUGAGGUAAUGGCUCACCUAGGCGACGAUACAUAGCCGACCUGAGAGGGUGAUCGGCCAAGCUGGGACUGAGACACGGCCCAGACUCCUACGGGAGGCAGCAGUAGGGAAUCUUCGGCAAUGGGGGCAACCCUGACCGAGCAACGCCGCGUGAGUGAAGAAGGUUUUCGGAUCGUAAAGCUCUGUUGUAAGUCAAGAACGGGUGUGAGAGUGGAAAGUUCACACUGUGACGGUAGCUUACCAGAAAGGGACGGCUAACUACGUG
rnacentral:rRNA from 1 species